AGUCUACUCAAUAAAGCAGACAGUGGAUGCCUAGGCAUUAAAGGCCGAUGAAGGACGCGCAUGGCCGCGAUAGUCGCCGGGAAGCUGCCAAGAAGCUGUGAUCCGGCGGUGUCCGAAUGGGGAAACCCGCGAGUGCGAAAGCACUCGUACCUCGUGCUUUGCACAGGGAAAUUACAAAUUUCAAAUGUCAAAUGACAAAUUGAAGUUUCAAAUUUAAAAUUUUGAAUUUCACUUUUACAUUUUUCAUUUUGAUUUUUUAAUUUUCUUGCGCAGGGCGCGAGGGGGGAACCAUCCGAACUGAAAUAUCUUAGUAGGAUGAGGAAAAGAAAUCGAUAGUCAGAUGCCCUUAGUAAGCGACGAGCGAAACGGGCAAAGCCCAAACCCUGACGCAAGUCAGGGGGUUGUAGGACUCCCAUCAGUGAUGUUUAUUGGAUAGCAGAAGGUCUUGGAAUAGGCCGCCAAAGAGCGUGAAAGCCGCGUACGCGAAAUUCGAUGAACAUCCGGGAAGUUCCUGAGUACCAUGGGAGACGGCAAACUCCUUUGGGAACCCGGGGGGACCACCCUCCAAGGCUAAAUACCUUUAAUGACCGAUAGUGAACUAGUACCGUGAGGGAAAGGUGAAAAGAAGGGUGAGAAACCCAGUGAAAUAGUACCUGAAACUGUUUGCUAACAAACAGACAGAGCCUUGUGCUUUGCACAAGGAAAUUACAAAUUUCGAAUGUCAAAUGCCAAAUUGAAAUUUCAAAUGUAAAAAUUUGAAUAUUACUUUUUGCAUUUUGCAUUUCGAAUUUUGAAUUUUCUCGCGCAGGGCGCGAGGUAAUGUCGUGCCUAUUGAAGAAUGAGCCGGCGAGUUUUCUUGUCUUGUUUGUCUAAGCCACGACGUGGCGGAGGCAGAGCGAAAGCGAGUCUUAACAGGGCGACCUAUGACAGGACAAGGAAGACCCGAAACCGGGCGAGCUAACCAUGGGCAGGGUGAACUUCGGUGAAAACCGAGGGGAAGCCCGAACCGUUGUGGGUUGCAAGCCACUCGGAUGACCUGUGGUUGGAAGCAAAAUACUUAACGAGCCCGGAGAUAGCUGGUUCUCCCCGAAAUAUAUCUUGGUAUAGGCUUCUCACUUAACCCGGUGGGGUAGAGCACUGCAUGGAUGUUGGUGGUUUACCGCCGAUAUUCAAGCAAACUCCGAAUACGCCGGUGGACGUGAGAGGACUCAGUGGGUCGGGGCUAAGCUCGAUCCGCAAAAGGGAAACAUCCCAGACCUUCGUCUAAGGCCUCAAAAUUAAUGCUCAGUUAAAGGAAGUCAUUUUCCACAAACACCCAGGAGGUCGGCUUAGAGGCAGCCAUCCUUGAAAGAAAGCGUAACAGCUCACUGGCCGAGGGAAGUGGCGCCGAAGAUUCACGAGAAUAAGCAUUAUGCCGAAGACAGGGAUUCUUGUGCCUUGCACAAGGAAAUUACAAAUGUCAAAUGUCAAAUGCCAAAUUGAAAUUUCAAGUGUUAAAUUUUGAAUAUUACUUUUUGCAUUUUGCAUUUUGAAUUUUGAAUUUUCUCGCGCAGGGCGCGAGAGUGGUAGGGGAGCGUUCUUGCAGCAGUGAAUGUGUACCGGAAGGUAUGCUGGAGCGGCAAGAAGUGAGAAUGCCGGUAUGAGUAGCGUGUAGCCGGUGAGAAUCCGGCUCGUCGUAAGCCCAAGGUUUCCGAAGCAACGUUCGUCGUCUUCGGGUUAGGCGGUCCUAAGGUGAGGCCUAUUGGCGUAGCCGAUGGACAACGGGUUGAUAUUCCCGUCCUUGGUUGUCAUCGUUAUUAGCUGGGGAGGGACGAUAUUGGAUAGCUUGAGCGGCGCGUUGAAGAUGCGUUCGUCUAAGCUGUGAAACAGGGUAUGCAGGAAAAUCCGCAUAUCUGACGUUGAGCAGCGAUGGAAAGGCCAAACUCGCGUGCGGCCAAUUCGAGUGACUUCAAUAUCCGAGAAAACCUUCGCAGUGAGAUGGCAAUCAAUCCGUACCGACAACCGACACUGGUGGGCAGGUGGAGAACACCAAGACGAGCGGGAGAAGGAGGUUUAAGGAAUUCGGCAAAUUAGCUGGGCGUACCUUAGGUAUAUGCCCUCCCCGACAGCGCAAGCUUGUCGGGGUGCAACAAAAGAUCGCAGAGCGACUGUUUACCAAAAACACAGGUCUGUGCAAACUCGAAAGAGGAGGUAUACGGGCUGAGGCCUGCCCAGUGCCGGAAGGUUAAUUGCGGGGGUGAAUCCGAUUUAUCGGAGGAGCCUCCAAUCGAAGCCCCGGUGAACGGCAGCAGUAACUAUAACUGUUCUAUGGUAGCGCAGUCUCUUGUCGCUUAAUUAGCGACCCGCACGAAAGGCGUCACGACUCUGCGACUGUCUCGAACCUUCACCCGGCGAAAUUGAAAUGGCUGUGAAGAUGCGGCCUACUGACUGCAGGACAAAAAGACCCCGUGCAGCUUUACUACAGCUUGACACUGAUUACUCAUGUUAGAUCGUCGAGAAUAGGCGGGAGUCCCGACCUUAUGGUCGGGGCAUCAAUGGAAUACCGCUCGUUUGAUAUGGGAAAUCUUACUCAAAGAUUCUGGAAACGAAUCUGGGAACACUGUCUGGUGGGUAGUUUAACUGGGGAGGUUGCUUGCUAAAGCGUACCGCAAGCGUGCAAUGGUACCCUUAGCCUGGAUGGAAAUCAGGCUCUAAGUACAACGGCAGAAGGGUGCUUGACUGCGAGACUUACAAGUCGAGCAGGUGCGAAAGCAGGUCAUAGUGAUCCUCGUGUGCUUUGUGGAAGGCACCGGGCUUAACGGAUAAAAGCUACGCCGGGGAUAACAGAGUAGUCGCGCCUAAGCGUCCAUAGCGACGGCGCGGUUCGCUACCUCGAUGUCGGCUCAGGGCAUCCUGGGGGUGUAGAAGCUCCCAAGGGUUGGUCUGUUCGCCCAUUAAAGCCCUACGUGAGCUGGGUUCAGAACGUCGUAAGACAGUUCGGCCUCUAUCCGCAGUCAGCGAGAGAUUCUUGAGGGAAUCUGGCCACAGUACGAGAGGACCUGGCUGGGGAAGUCCCUGGUGUUCCUGUUGUCGCUGUCAAGCGCAGUGCAGGGUAGCCACACUUCCAAGGGAUAACCGCUGAAAGCAUCUAAGCGGGAAGCCCAUCCCAAGAUGAGGAAUCUGCUUGUCUGUAGGACAAGGAAAUUGCAAAUUUCAAAUGACAAGUUACAAAUUGAAAUUUCAAAUGAAAUAUUUUGAUUUUCAGUUUUUCAUUUUUCAUUUUGAUUUUUGGAUUUUCUUGCCCUGCGGGCGAGGAAGACCCCUAGGAGACUACUAGGUUGAUAGACGGCAGGUGUAAGCGUCGCAAGGCGUUCAGCUUAGCCGUACUAAUCGGUCGAAAGUAGAUAUU
rfam:Candidatus Chisholmbacteria bacterium RIFCSPLOWO2_01_FTLL_49_14 rifcsplowo2_01_scaffold_3761, whole genome shotgun sequence.